rnacentral:ribozyme from 14 species
GCCGCGGGAAGGUGGCAGGGAUGGAAGAGCCCAUUUUUUUUCAAAUGGGGCACUGCUCAAUGACGUGGAGGAGUGGGCAGAGAGCAUCAAGACCUGCGUGCUGAUGGCAAAGGCGGGCGGAGCGCUUGGAACCGAGCGUCGGUGAGCUCAUUCAUGCGCAGACGACCACGCAGAAGGCUGCGAAGUGGCUAGUGCAA